CUAAAUUAGAAGUGGAGGCAGACAGUAGCUCUAUGCCAUGUUCAUGUACUAGGCAUUGAGUAUGUUCACACUGGCAAAGGGACACAAUGAAGUACCUUUAAAACACUGGCGCACGAUUGUAGAACAUGAGGAUGAAUUCAUCGAGGAGUGAGCCACAGCAGCCUACUUUACGGAACAAACACACGUGGCUGUGCUUUACCUGAAGCAGGAGAAGCAGGUUUGCUGGCUGGCUCCAACUUUGGAGGAGGCUUUGCUGGAGUGGGCGUGUCCUCCUCUGGAGAAACAAGACAAAUGUAUUUAUGCAUGAGUGUGUGCUAUGUUUAAGGGUUAUGAUUACCUGUCGCAGAGAAGAGUGCACUGGCAUAAAAUUAACCCUUUGAAAAACAUUAUUAAAACAAUAUGAAAGAGGCAUGCAAUUUGUCUAUGUUCUGAAGGACAACAGAGGUCAUCACAUGAUCCAACGUGUGGUCGGACCUGGGAG